UACGUAGGGUGCGAGCGUUGUCCGGAAUUAUUGGGCGUAAAGAGCUUGUAGGCGGUUUGUCGCGUCUGCUGUGAAAUCUCAAGGCUCAACCUUGAGCUUGCAGUGGGUACGGGCAGACUAGAGUGUGAUAGAGGAUGGUGGAAUUCCCGGUGUAGCGGUGAAAUGCGUAGAGAUCGGGAGGAACACCAGUGGCGAAGGCGGCCAUCUGGAUCAACACUGACGCUGAGGCACGAAAGCGUGGGGAGCAAACAGG
rnacentral:rRNA from 1 species